rnacentral:rRNA from 1 species
CCUACGGAGUGCUGCAGUGGGGAAUAUUGGACAAUGGGCGAAAGCCUGAUCCAGCCAUGCCGCGUGUGUGAAGAAGGCCUUCGGGUUGUAAAGCACUUUCAGUGGGGAAGAAAGCCUUGGGGCUAAUACCCUCGAGGAAGGACAUCACCCACAGAAGAAGCACCGGCUAACUCCGUGCCAGCAGCCGCGGUAAUACGGAGGGUGCGAGCGUUAAUCGGAAUUACUGGGCGUAAAGCGCGCGUAGGCGGUCUGAUAAGCCGGUUGUGAAAGCCCCGGGCUCAACCUGGGAACGGCAUCCGGAACUGUCAGGCUAGAGUGCAGGAGAGGAAGGUAGAAUUCCCGGUGUAGCGGUGAAAUGCGUAGAGAUCGGGAGGAAUACCAGUGGCGAAGGCGGCCUUCUGGACUGACACUGACGCUGAGGUGCGAAAGCGUGGGUAGCAAACAGGAUUAGAUACCCUAGUAGUC